rnacentral:ncRNA from 1 species
GGUUCAGGUUUCGAAAGAAUUAAUAGGGAACGUUGUGAGAGUCAGCGACUAUGCCCGUAGCUGUGAGUUCCGUGUUUGUUUUUUUCGGUGAAGCCACUGACAUUCCAUGUGUCGGGAAGGCGGAAGAAAACUGGGACGAGUCAGAAGACCUGCCUGCACC